UCCGGUUUGGCACCGGCAGUCUCCCUAGAGUUCCCGGCAUCACCCGCUGGCAACUAAGGACAGGGGUUGCGCUCGUUGAUGGACUUAACCAAACAUCUCACGACACGAGCUGACGACGGCCAUGCAACACCUGUCACUGUAUUCCCGAAGGCACAGUCUCCUUUCGGAGACCUUCACAGGAUGUCAAACCUUGGUAAGGUUCUUCGUUUACCAUCGAAUUAAACAACACGCUCCACCGCUUGUGCGGGUCCCCGUCAAUUCCUUUAUGUUUUAGUCUUGCGACCGUACUCCACAGGCGGGAUGCUUAACGCGUUAGCUUCGCUACUGCCCGGGUCGAUACGGGUAACAGCUAGCAUCCAUAGUUUACGGCGUGGACUAC
rnacentral:misc_RNA from 1 species